UUAAAUGCCAGCUGCUCUCAUCAGCAGAAUCCAGGACAGGUGCGUAGAUUGGAAAACUCCGCCCCUGCCACUCUGACUCUGGAAGCACUCAUGGUUUCAACAACAUGAUAAAUUAUCAGUGGAAUGGUAGUACUCGAACGGAGGGAUGAGAAGGCAGUAGCAGUAAAAGCUGUAAAAGAGCCACCCGGUAACUACAGAAAUGGAUGGAGUGUGUGAUGGCAAGUCACACAUGGUUCUCCCCUAUGGACAGCAGGAUGAAGAAAAUAAAGGGAGGCACUCUUGCUGGAACCGUGAACCGCAGCCUUAGUUUCGUGAAGUGAAUGCCGCUCUAUCCUCUCCGUCUGUGAGAAGGGCUACAGUGUCUUUCACACAUUCCCCUCAGCGUUUGUCUCCUAUGAUCUGUGAAAAUGGAGAAAAGUGGAAGCUCACACACAUAAACAAACACGCACUGAAAACAUUGAUACC